rnacentral:rRNA from 1 species
GACGAACGCUGGCGGCGUGCCUAAUACAUGCAAGUAGAACGCACAGUUUAUACCGUAGCUUGCUACACCAUAGACUGUGAGUUGCGAACGGGUGAGUAACGCGUAGGUAACCUGCCUGGUAGCGGGGGAUAACUAUUGGAAACGAUAGCUAAUACCGCAUAAUAUUGAUUAUUGCAUGAUAAUUAAUUGAAAGGUGCAAUUGCACCACUACCAGAUGGACCUGCGUUGUAUUAGCUAGUAGGUGAGGUAACGGCUCACCUAGGCGACGAUACAUAGCCGACCUGAGAGGGUGAUCGGCCACACUGGGACUGAGACACGGCCCAGACUCCUACGGGAGGCAGCAGAAGGGAAUCUUCGGCAAUGGACGAAAGUCUGACCGAGCAACGCCGCGUGAGUGAAGAAGGUUUUCGGAUCGUAAAGCUCUGUUGUAAGAGAAGAACGGGUGUGAGAGUGGAAAGUUCACACUGUGACGGUAUCUUACCAGAAAGGGACGGCUAACUACGUG